rnacentral:rRNA from 1 species
AUGAACGCUGGCGGCGUGCCUAAUACCUGCCAGUCGAGCGAACAGACGAGGAGCUUGCUCCUCUGACGUUAGCGGCGGACGGGUGAGUAACACGUGGAUAACCUACCUAUAAGACUGGGAUAACUUCGGGAAACCGGAGCUAAUACCGGAUAAUAUAUUGAACCGCCUGGUUCAAUAGUGAAAGACGGUUUUGCUGUCACUUAUAGAUGGAUCCGCGCCGCAUUAGCUAGUUGGUAAGGUAACGGCUUACCAAGGCAACGAUGCGUAGCCGACCUGAGAGGGUGAUCGGCCACACUGGAACUGAGACACGGUCCAGACUCCUACGGGAGGCAGCAGUAGGGAAUCUUCCGCAAUGGGCGAAAGCUUGACGGAGCAACGCCGCGUGAGUGAUGAAGGUCUUCGGAUCGUAAAACUCUGUUAUUAGGGAAGAACAAAUGUGUAAGUAACUAUGCACGUCUUGACGGUACCUAAUCAGAAAGCCACGGCUAACUACGUG